AUAACAAUACAGGACUCUUUAGAGGCCCUGUAAUUGUAAUGAGUCCACUUGAAAUCCUUUAACUCUGAUCAAUUGGAGGGCAAGUCUGGUGCAGAGCGACUGACCCAUGCGUGCUGCACCUGAAACUCCAC